rnacentral:rRNA from 1 species
AUUGAACGCUGGCGGCAGGCCUAACACAUGCAAGUCGAGCGGAUGAAGGGAGCUUGCUCCUGGAUUCAGCGGCGGACGGGUGAGUAAUGCCUAGGAAUCUGCCUGGUAGUGGGGGAUAACGUCCGGAAACGGGCGCUAAUACCGCAUCCGUCCUGAGGGAGAAAGUGGGGGAUCUUCGGACCUCACGCUAUCAUAUUAGCCUAGGUCGGAUUAGCUAGUUGGUGGGGUAAAGGCCUAACAAGGCGACGAUCCGUAACUGGUCUGAGAGGAUGAUCAGACACACGGGAAGUGAGACACGGUCCAGACUCCUACGGGAGGCAGCAGUGGGGAAUAUUAGACGAUGGGCGAAAGCCUGAUCCAGCCAUGCCGCGUGUGUGAAGAAGGUCUUCGGAUUGUAAAGCACUUUAAGUUGGGGGGAAGGGCAGUAAGUUAAUACCUUGCGGUUUUGACGGUACCAACAGAAUAAGCACCGGCUAACUUCGUG